CAUCGAGACGGCGUCGUUUCACGUGGAGACCCUUGGUAUAAAAUGAUGGAGAUUUUAAAAUGAAGUGAAGAAAAGGAGCGAUGGAAUUGCUGAAGCUUUCGAAGUUGAAGCUCCAACUUCAAGCCCUCGUCGCCGAAGUUCGAGAUCUCAGGGACAGAGAACGCUCCGCCACCGAGCAACAUCACCUUCUUCUCCAGAAGGUGAAGAAUAACGAGGAAGAGUGUGGCAGAAAGAUACAGGAAUUGCAGGGCGAGUUGGCUUCUGUCAGAGAGGAGCGUCAGAAGCUGGAGAGAAAGGUGAAUUAUCUAGAGAACGAUAAUGUGCUGCUUGAGAACAAGCAGAAAGAGUUGAAGGGAACGCUGAAUAAUUUGCUUCAGUCUAGGGAAAGCUUCGUGCAUGCUUACGAGGAAUCUAAUUCUAAGAUGAAACGUUCAAUUGAAGCCAAAGAUAGGAUGCUCAAUGUCCUUUCAGAGAAGAUAAGUUCUUGUCUAGCAUUAUUUGAUUCAAUAGCCAAGGAGGUAUUUUGUAUCAAGCAAGUUCUGGAUAAAGUCCAGAACAUUGUCAAUGAUAGAGAGGAAGUUGUGACCAAAUUGAAAAAGAAAAUGGAUUGGGUCUCUGCAUUUGAAAAAACAUUUGUUGAAAAUAUCUCUGAUCUAAGAAAUAAAUCGGAAAACAACGAGGCUGAAUUAAGAAGAAAGGACAGAAUGAUCUCAGAGCUUGUAGCAGAGCUGGACGUGGCAAAAGUUGGCAAUCAUAACCAAGCUCAAAUGGAAGAUAUAUCCAAACCUGCAAUAGUUAUUCUAUAUCAAAUACCAUAAAACUUAUUUGCACUUUCAUUUUCCACAUUUUCUUAACCAGCUCCACUUUCAGAAAACUUUAUCUCUAAAGGAUACAGAGAUACAAAAUUUAGUUUCUGACAAAGAGGUUUAAUGUUUUAUUUCAUCAUUAUUUCCAUGACUUCUGGUUGUGGGGUCCCUAUGAUUUCUAAACAUUUUUUAAAAUAAUUCAAAGGUUUUACAUUAUGAAGUUGGAAGCUUAAGACUCAUCUUACAGAGGAUUCAGGAUACCGUUACAAAUAUGAAUGAAGAGGACAAAAGGUUAUUUUCAUCAAUCUUGCAACAAAAAGAAGAAAUUGCAAUGGAUGUGGAGAUUGUAGAUAAACUGAAAUGAGCACAGUCGCUAUUUUGAAGCAAGUGUGGUAUGCAUUGGUUUUAUUGUGUUAUGUUUUGAACUGACGAUGGAUUGAGACCAAAUGAGCAACAGAAGGAUUCACUACAUAGCCAACUGCGUCUCUGAUAUCUGGUAUACGAUGAAGACAGAAGUUUGAAUCGAAGACUUUGUAUAAACUACUUAAAUUCCUCACUGUUAGACUGAUCUUAGUGGGCUGGCAAUUCAUGGUUUGGUACAGUGGAAUUGGUGAGCAUCAAUUUUCUUUACACUCCCCAAAACAAGUUUAGUCUUCAUAGAGGUAUGCAGUUAUUUCCUUUUCUUAAGCCCUCAAGAAAAAAACACCUUUCCCACAACAAUUCUGCAUAUAUUUUCUCCUCCCACUAAAGUUGGUUUGCCUUCUGAAAAUUUAUUUCGAUUUAUUAAAUUAGGAAUUCUCUUCCAAUUAUUUGAAGAAAAAAAAUACGAAGAGUUUUUUUUUUUUUUCAUGAAUUGGGCUGAAUUGAAUCUGUUUGUUCAAUUGUUUUUCCCGCACAAGUGAGUCUAAUUUGACCUGAAAUGACGAAGUGUGCUUCAUUUUAUUUUAUCUGGUUUUGGGUUCAUGACUCUUGUUGAUUUCUUAUAUACUCGGGGAGAGAAUACUUAAUCAUUGUGACAGAAGUGGAAACUAAGCAUUAAUUACUUAAUUAUUUUAUUUUAUUAUUUUAAGAUUAAAAGAAAUAUACGUAUGAACUUUUUAAAUGAUCAUGUGAUCAUAAGA